CGUUAGAGUUUGUUUUCGCCACAAAGCUGCAUAAGUAUAACAAAGCCACGAUAAAUUUGUAGCAAUAGUGGAACUAUUUGUCGCAAAACGCUUAUGUAAAUAGAUCAAAACUAACUAACUAAACUAAGCCAAAAAGUACUCACGCAAAGACGCAAACAAGUUUUACCAUCUGGGAGAAGCACAUCCAUUCAACCCGUUGAAACACCCCUCGUUGACGAACCACUUUCGGCGAGUAAACAAUCAGCCAAACCCCUUCAGGCAGGCAACAUCGAAAUACCGUUGCGUCAAAACGUCAUCUUAACUUCCGCUGUUUGCACGACACAACAGAGACGAAAACGUUCACUUGCAGCACCGCGAAAGCCGCAGCCGCAUCGUUGUUCACAUUUUAUCGAACGGUAGGUCGUGAGAAAAGUGACCGGAAUAAGUGGCCAACAAUUAAAAUCUAUCACCGUUUAGGAACCAGCAAAGCGGUGAAGCCCCGUCUUUCAUCGUGCCGCUUUAAUCGGCCAUUGUGGUUGAGGACCGCGGGCCAGAAUAGAAACACGCAACUACAUACGUGCCGCAGAAACAACCCGCUGACCGGGCAACCCGACAGUGGCAGCACCAUCAGUAGGCCACGAGCUGGGACGGUCGGCAUAAACACACGAGCACGGUUUCGCACGAGGUCGAUGUGAGUGAUGCGUUCUAGAAACGAAGUCAGUGAAUAAUAAGAAAUUUGAUUCCGUCCAGCAGAUAUCACGGAAAGGCAUCCGGCGCAGAAGGCACCACUCGACCGAGCACAGUGCAUUGACCAACAAAGGGAAGAGAGGGGAUCGUCAGAACCGAUCCCUUCUUUUAUCCGCCCUCGAGAUCAGUCCCGGAAUCACACCGAAGGCUGGUGCCCGCGGAAGUGUGCGAUUAUCGGAAGAAUCGCGGCAGCGGACUGCAGGCGUUGGGUCACACACCACGAACGCACCGUUACGUAACGCACCGCACUGUGGCGUCAAGGGGCCCCUGAACAAAUUGCAUGAGUACUAACCAUAGCAUGUAAGCAAAGUAGAGGAAGAAGAAUGGCCAGCUUGUAGGCCCAAAGUGAA